rnacentral:tRNA from 1 species
GUGAAAGUUAAAUGUAUAACUGUGACUUAUACUUUGAUUUUUUUAUCCUUUCACA